UACGUAGGGGGCUAGCGUUGUCCGGAUUUAUUGGGCGUAAAGAGCGCGUGGGCGGCCGAGUAAGUCCGACGUGAAAUCUGGAGGCUCAACCUCCAGCGGUCGUUGGAAACUACUCGGCUAGAGUCCGGAAGAGGAGAGUGGAAUUCCUGGUGUAGCGGUGAAAUGCGCAGAUAUCAGGAGGAACACCCCGUGGCGAAGGCGGCCGACUGGACCUGACCCUGACGCUGAGGCGCGAAGGCGUGGGGGAGCGAACAGG
rnacentral:rRNA from 1 species